AUGGAACAGACCCAGAGUUUGCUUAGUGAGGGUGCUGAGCACAACAUGCUAACUGAAGAUCCCUUGUCAGAGAUUGCACCAAUUGGAACAGACCCACAGAGUUUGAUUAUUGAGGGUGCUGAGCACAACAUGCUAACUGAAGAUGGAGAAACAUUUAUUGAAGAUGUAGUUGUUUCAGAUUCUGAUUUUAGUGACAGUGACUAUGACAUAGAUGAUGGUGAUGAUGAUCUUUAUGAUGACAACAUUGACUUUGAUGUUGAUGAAGAAGCUGAUCAGGAUGAGGAUGAUGUGGAGCCUGAAUACUUGCUUGAGGAUGAAGAUCUCAACCUAUCAACUAAGCAAGUACAUGAACUUAGGUACAAGUUUAAAACUUUCAAUGCAAAGGUGGACAUGAUUUCUCCUGUGUUUAAAGUAGGGAUGGUAUUUGCUAAUGUGGUUGAGCUAAGACAUGCACUGACUACAUAUUCAGUUAGAAACAGAAUGUAG
rnacentral:rRNA from 1 species